GGGACUUGCAGGGAAGGAAGCCUUUUACUGUUACCAUCUAGUAAUAUAUAAACACCUUCCUAGGGUUGAAAGGGGGAAGUGUUGCUUAAUCAAGUGAUUAGUGAUUACUCCUGGAUACUCUAGCUGCCUGUAACCUUACAGGGCUGUACCAGUUCUCUGGCCUGGUACUGUUUCUGCUGUUACUCCAAGAUGGGAGAUGCUCAAAGCAAGAAACGGUUUGGUGUGGUCUAUGACAGACAAGCUGUGAUGGAAGAAGCUACAGCAGAGGAUCCUGAAGCAAAAGAGGAACUUCAACCUCUUCAUUUAGAGUCUUGGCAAAAGUCCUACCUGGACCCUCAAGCAUUUGCACAAAAGAGAGGCAAAGAGGCAGAAGAGCCUGGAAUGGGUGAGGUAAGGUACCUUAAGCCUGAAACAGAGUUGCAAGGUGUGAGCCCAGAAGAAGAAUCUCUCCUCUCACCUGACAAUGGCAGGUGAGAGGGGAGCAGUAGUUCCUCUGCAGUAAGGAAUUACAGAGUAAGGUACCAUAGCACCUACAGAAGACUAGUUGAACACUUGCUAAAGAGACUCCUGAGAAAUUACCUCUCUGCAGAGAGUCAGAUUUUUCUAAUGAAGAUGGCCUGAUGACAUGGACUGCAUCUCUACUUCUGAUCCUGCAUCAUUUGCUGAUGGAAGCUGGUCUUUUCUUUUUUCUUUUCUUUUUGGUCCCAAGGUCUGAUAAUUAAAACUCCUAAAAUGGACAGCAGGCUAAGCCAAUAUCUCAACCUGUAUUUCUGAACAUUACUGGAAUAUCUUCAAGAUGGACUUGCUAUCCAUCUGUUGCGUUAUAGGAGUAUGGGAACCUGGAAAAUCUGUAGCUCCUAGCAGUCUUAAACUUGUGAUUGUCUCUUUAAAUAAAAUACUAUGGAUGGUACAAUUGUA